rnacentral:rRNA from 1 species
GACGAACGCUGGCGGCGUGCCUAACACAUGCAAGUCGAGCGGGGAUGUGGAUGAGCUUGCUCUGAUACAUUCUAGCGGCGGACGGGUGAGUAACGCGUGAGCAACCUGCCUCAAACAGGGGGAUAACGCAUCGAAAGAUGUGCUAAUACCGCGUAAGACCACGGAGUCACAUGGCUCAGGGGUCAAAGGAGCAAUCCGGUUUGAGAUGGGCUCGCGUCCGAUUAGCUAGUUGGUGAGAUAACAGCCCACCAAGGCGACGAUCGGUAGCCGACCUGAGAGGGUGAUCGGCGCAUUGGAACUGAGAUACGGGUCCAGGACUCCUACGGGAGGCAGCAGUGGGGAAUAUUGGGCAAUGGGCGAAAGCCUGACCCAGCAACGCCGCGUGAGGGAAGAAGGGUUUCGGCUCGUAAACCUCUGUCCUAU